UCGCCGUUCGUCUGGUUCGUCAGUCUUUCGCUUUGGCCUAAGCGUUAUCCACGUCGGUUAAUUUCACAGUUUUUUUCAACUGGCCGUUUCUCAUUUUUGUCGUCUUCGGCAUCGCACAUAAUCACUUCGCUUAUCGUCCGUCGACUAUAUCACCUCUCUCUGCGACAUCAACCGUGUUUGCUUAGUGUUGACGUGUCCCACGGUUUGUCAGUCGGCAGAAUGGGAACCACUGGAAAUUAGACCUUGUGUUCGUUCAGGUGCAACGGUGUUCCCUUUCACCGCCAGCUCGACGACACGUAGACAACAACAACCGUCGCAGCCGCCGCCGCUGCCGUCUCCCCUCCGCGCAACGCCUGACUCGGAAUGCCGACUGACGACGUACAAUAAUUGAACGUGUACUGCGUAGCAGCAUCGUAUGGCGUCGGUGCACUGCGGACCGGUCGGCCAUUUAUCUCGAAACUUCACUUCUUCCUCGUCGGUACCUGCUGCUCUGCUGUGUGCGCACUGUGUUCGUCUCGUCGCCUCCAAAAGCCGACGGUGAUAGUUUUCCGUUCUGUACGCCAUCGGCCGUCAUUACAUGGACAGGUAUCAUUCCGACAGCGAGAACUUGUAUAUUCGGUACCGGCGAUUGCAGAAUUUCAGUCUUGCCAUGAAAGCCUGACCUAUAUCCAUAUCAACGUCAAUGGCUGUUCGUCGUGCAGAGUAUCCGGAACUGUUACAUUGUUACUGGUUUGCAUGUUAUAAGUUUAGCCUUUAACCCAAAAUAUUCUUAUGUCAUGAAUAAUGAUAAUAUAAAAUACUAUUAAAAAUAGUUUUAUCGUUUUUCAUCAUAUUUGAUAUGAGCUGAUUAUUUCUCAUGUACAAAAUACGUACUAACCAACAGUAUGACAAUCUUCCGCUAUGCACAUAGAAAUGUAUCAAAGAAACACAGUAGAGGGGCCCACAUAAGAGGUUCAUUGUUUUGAAGGAUUAAAAUGUUUCUGUGAUAACAUUAAAAUUGAAAUAUUUAUCACUAGAUGGUGUAUUAUUUUCUGAAUUCAGAGACAUUAAAAUGCAAUUUUUUGGUUUAUUUCACAUAAGAGGCUAUUAGCUUUGCCCUGAGCAACAUCAUGUUUAAUUUAAUGCAUUUGCUGGAAUUAAAAACCAUAUAACUUCAU